UUAACUAGGCAAAGAACUUUAUUAAUCUUGUUUCAAACUUUAUUCCCAGGCUUCUUCAGCUUAAUUAGCUACAAAGAAUGAAUUGUGUAUAAGCAAAAACUGAAAAGAGCUGCAGUGUCCAGGGGAUAGGAAGAGCACAAGU